GGUCAAGUUCAAAGUGUAAUGUUGUGUCAUAUAGAAGUAAUUUAAUUAAUUUACUAUUUGAAUUGUGCCGGAUUUUAGGUCAAUAUUGGUUUUAUCUAGUAUUCAAUAAUUAUUCAAGGAAGUAAAUAAGAAAUCUAAUUUCCAGGUAAACAACUUAAAGCUUAAUCUUUUAUCGACUCUUCAGCUGACUUGGUGUCUAUCUAUUUAUGGAAGGAAAGCUACCAAAUUAUGGAUCAAUGUCCCACUGCCUAUGGUAAUUAUUGCGUAUUAUUUAAUGAAAACAGUGUCAUUUCUCAUUAAGCUAUCUCAAGACGAUACUUUUACAACUAUAACUGAUACUAUCAAUCUAAAUUAAUCAAAUGUAUCUACCUCAAGUCACCUAAAGAUAUAGAUUUUUUUCAGGUUACACCGAUAAGCAUGCGAGUCGCUAAAUCACCCGUGAGAUUGGAGAGACUGAAUCAAUCCUAAAUGACAAUCCAUCUAGAAUCAAUUGUGAAUCAAAAAAAUUACGGUACUUUGAACAGGAAAGCAAUGAUGAAAAGAAAGAAGGAGAGAAAAGCUUUUUUAGGACUUCAGCUGUCUCAAUGAACGUCUAUCUAACCAUACUAUUGACACUGUUUCGGAUGUAUUACUAAAGGUGUAUCACUCUUUAAAUUGUCUCACCCUUUUGGUAGUGAAGGAAAAGGCUUUCAUUUCAAAGUAUCCAAAGAUUCCAGGCAAAGCAAUACCAGGCUGUAUGGGAACUCGGUGUAAAUAUUUCCUGUUAAUUUGAGUAGCUUAAAAAGCCCCACGAAAUCUAAGAAUACCUCAGGAAUCGACAAAUAUUCCAAAUUUAAGCAUUGAUUACAUGAUUGGUGAAAUUACAUGGGAAUCCAUUUACUCAUCAAUGAUAAAAUUUUUCAACAAAAUCUCUCAGAUGCAGUUGCAACACCAAAUCAGGUUAAUCGGAUGUUAUCCAAAGCCUUGCUUUGAUGCUCGAUAAACGUCAUAUCUCUAAUGACUUUUCCUGGAUGGAUUCAUAUUGAACAAUCUGAACGCAAAGGGAUAAACUGAAACUACUAUGUUUAAACAACAAUCAAUUGGCUAUUAUUGCAAAUAUAAUGAUAAAUACAAGACAUACCAGCUGUUGCACUGUUGGUUCAAUGUCUUUUUGGUUACAUGAUGUUUCUACUGGUGACAAUUGACUUCAACAAUUGGAUUAAUUUUCAACCCUCUCAAGGUUUACAUCCAUUAUCCAAUUGAAAACACUGCAAAUUUGUCCAAUUGCCAAGGAAUCAAAAUUGAUUGUAACAAUUUAUAAAUAUUUAAUAUAAGGAAAGUGAAAGCAGUUGGAUGAUGUAAGACUGUCAUCUUUAUCGUCAUCAAUGAGCCAUUGAAGAUGCAACAAGACACAAUUUUCUUGUUUGUUUAAACUGAGGCACAUUGCAAUUUAAAAUCAGAUUCAGCUGUGAUUAGAUGCUAUAGAGACUUGAAGGAAUUAAAUCAAGGAAUUAAUUGGCUGUGAAUGGAUAAUAAAAAUGUAUCAUUUUAUGCAGUUGACUAUCAAUAGUUUGGCUUACGGAUUUGAAACAUUACAUUAUACCAGUUGACUUCAAAAUUCAUAUGAAAACCUAAAAUUCAGGCCCUUUUGUGACUUAGAGCAAUGGCAGAGGAUAAACUGGUCUUGUCUUGAACGACAUCGAUUAAUGGAUGAUUUAAUUUCAACUGGAAUUAACUGUAAUUGUGUUCUGUACAAACUCAGUUGGAGGAUUACCAUGGAAUUGAAAUUAUCUUUACAUUCACAAAGAACAGUAAUUUGCCUUAUAUUAGUUGGAAUCUUAUGCAGUUAAAGGGAAAUACUGUUUAAUAACAAGUCUAAACGUUUCACUGUGAUCAGGAAGCUGCUGAGAAGUGCCGAUGCACUUUAAAAUUAUAUUUUACCUGUUGAUGGUGAUCAAUGAAGACGUUCAACAAUAAUUCAGAUCAAAUUGCUAAUGGUUGCAUCAAUUUAAAGGAGAAAGAAAUAAAAAAGCAAUUUUAAGGUUAACCUUGAUUUAGGCUUUACGAUAAAAAUGAUUUAGCAAAUUGUCUAUUUAAAAUCCCAUUCCAAGAUCCAAUUGAAUAUUUAUCUAAUCAAUCUGAUUCUUUGAAUGAAUUGAAGACAAAAAGCUAUUGAAAUCACCAUUCCUCAAACCUUUGGCAAUAAUUAUGGUUAAUCACCACCAAACAGUACGGCUGGGUAGUACUAAGAUUACGUUAUUACCUAAUACAUCUAAUUGAGCUUCCAACCUUUUAGGUUUAAUAACAAUUUAACCAACUUCAUUUGAUCCAAUCGACUAAUAAUGAUUAUAUUGGCUUAGGUGUCUUUUGUUUAAAGCAAACUUUCACUUUAUUAUUAUCUUGUUUCAUCUUGAUUAUCAUGGUUUAAGCCUGAACAUUAUUUACAAUUUAAUGUUCAUCUUUAAUCCCAAUUUUUCUACUGCUGAUGCUUGAUCAUUCCGAUCAAUUAACUUUAAUGCAAUAUUUUAAUCAACUUGAUUCAUGUUGACACCAUCAACAACAGGUUUAACCGGGUAUCAAUCGGCCAUAAUCAUAUAUCAACAUAAUUAGGAUAAAGUACUGAUGCUGACGUUCAACUGAAACAUUAAAUGAAACAUUUUCAUGCUCAAUCCUGGAUUGCUAGUAAAGUGUUAAGAUCAUGAUCAACGAAAUCGGUGUCUUCAAUCAUUUUAAUUACAAUGUUACGAGUGUUUAAUGCAUGGAUGCAAAUUUACAAUGCAAAUAGCGCACCAAAGCAAAACAUAAACAAAGUAUCUUUCCAUUUGAUGUUUGUUUCUUGAAAAUAUUAAACAAUAGAUAGUACUCUGACCUCAAUUUAGCUGAUUAUUGAUGAUGGUUAUAUCUAUUAUGAGGUUAAUCAUUAAAUAAUUAUUAUGAUUAGCAAACAAUCGUAUCAAUCUUGAGCCUCCGAUCUAUGUAGUUGGGAGAUUGCUGUCUCAAUAGCUUCAAUACUUCACAAGACAGUAACACUUGAAGAUACUGUCGAUCACUCAUUAUAAAGCACUAAAUUGUUGAUUAAUUUACAUUUUAAAAAUCUAAAUUGUCACACUUUGAUUGGAUUAAAGACACAAUUUACUGGAAAUGGAAAGCAAAAUUUGCAUAAAUGAAAUUAUUGUCUUCAGAUUUUAUGGUUGAUGUUAAUAAAUGUCAAUAGAUGUCAAUAGAAGCAAAAAGACGAUUGUUUUUGUUUCUUCUCUAGUUUACCUUCUUAAUAAUGUCUAUUCAUGCAACUCAUCAAUUUAAUUAUUUCAAUCAUCACCAACCCCGCUGACCCAAUUAACAAAUAAAUUAACAGCUUACGGUACUGUCAAUUGAUUACUGUUCUGUGUGUGCUUAUGAGAUGUUAAUCAAGUCAAAGUCAACAACCAUUUUGAUAUGUUCUAAGCUUUCUAAGCUACAUUUAACAUAAAAUACAAACUCAUCACCAUUGCUUCCUCAUUUUGUGUUUUUAUUUUAUGGUUAGGCAUAAAUUAUUCAAGUCUAAGCUAAAUUGUAUCAUUACAAUUUGCUAAUUACCUAAUAAUGACAAAAAAAGUGUUGCUAAACUGUAUCAAAAAAGGGUAACAAUGGACAAAGUAAUCGUCUUGUUUCAAAAAAAACUAGUUGUCCAUCAUUGUUUUAAUGUAUGCUUAUCUAAUAAUUUUUUUACAGCUACCAACAUUCAAUCCCCAUCUUUAUUCAGUAUUAUCAAACCUACAUCAUGAUCAUCUUCAUCUACAUAAUCAUUCAUCAUCACAGUCAUCAUACCUAACAGCUAAAACUAAUCAAUUCUUGACACACACACAACACAAUGAUUAGAUUUGCGAUUGCAGACAGACCAAAGCUAUUGAAAGGUUGAAACAAUAUUUUUAAAUGCAAAUAUUAGAUUCCAAUGACUCUUGACCAUCCAGUAAAUCGGUAUCAGUAAUGAUUAAUGAAUUAAGGUCAACCAGUUGUUCAACUAAUUAAAAACAAAGCGUUUGCCUUACUUCGGGUUACCUGUUGAUAGUUGGCCUGAAAAGAAAUGGCUAACCAGAAGAAGAAGAAGAAGCAAAAGGCUCAUAAUGGGAAUAAGAUGAAGAAACUGAAUCCAAUUUAACUACAUGAGAGUCGAUUCAUCCAAUUUAAGGCCCAGGUUCAUCAGACCAAAGAAAGAGGUAAAGACAGAUCGAUCAAGUGAAUCUCUAUGGUUAUUAUUAAUAGAAUAGAUCAACUCAUUUUGGUUGGUAAAAUGGAAGCAAGAAAUAUAUUUUAUAGACAUUUGGAUUCUCAAAUUGUGUUUGACUUUAAAUCAAUGAUUACCCUUAAUCAAUAUUUGCAGCCAAGAAAAUUAUUAUUGCGUUGUUGUUGGUUAAAGAGGUACAAUAGCAACUAAAAAAGUACCAGCAAAUAAUCCGAUGUUUCUGUAUGUUCAAUGUUAUGGAUAAAUUGUUGAUUAAGAUUUUGGUCAAGCCUGUGGUUGUGUUAAAUCUUAUCGGGUUGAUGACCAAAUUUGUUGACUCAAGUGAAAUAUUAUGCCAUGAAUAUAAUAGCUGGAAUGGCUGCAAGAAUCCCUUUGAAGCCAAAUGUGAUUCAAAUGAAGGUAAAUGUAUAUGUACAGAGGCAAACAGUUUGUAUGAGAAUGGUUACUGUUUACGGCGUAUUUUGGCCAUCCAUGAAGCCUGUUGGAUCAAUGGUCAGUGUUUAAUGACUGGAACAAGAUGCUUCUCUAAGGAGGGUAAAGGUGACUCGCUUGAUAGUGUUAUUGAAUCCCUUUGGCUUGAUUAUGUUGCCUCGAAUGGAAGUGAUCUCUUAAUCCCAGGUAUUUGUCAAUGUAAUAUUGGCUAUGUAUUUGAUUUGAUUGAAGGUAAAUGCAUUCCCAGAUUAAUUGAUACACCAUGUUUAACGGAUUAUGAUUGUCUUCGACGAAGCUCAUUCAGUCGAUGUUACAUUAACAAAUGCAUCUGUUCCAUAAAGCACCUUUACAACUCGAGAAGUGAUAAAUGUGUCUUCUUUGGUGAUGGUAAGGUUACUUUUUUAUAACAAUAUUUUAGAUGUAAAGGUUGCUGUAUUGCUUGUACCAUUAACGAUUGGCUUGGUCUUUACUUUUGUUCCAGUUUUAUGGCCACGGAGAAGCUGUUUUGAGGGUUCAUGUAGAAGUAAUGGAAAUUUCAAUGGAAAUACCAAUGGUAACAAUGCCAAUGAACAAUAUUUUUAUAACCAUUCAAUGGCCAAUAUAUUUGGGUUUUCACUGUCCAUGACUGUUUUAAUGAUGGUUUGGAUUGUUGUCCGUAACUGUGCUCGUGCACGUCUCUCUGAUCGUGUUAUCCGACUUGAUGAAUUACGUUAUAGUGAUUUAAGGGUUACCUAUGAUCCAUUUGAGAUCAACCGGUCCACAGCCUCAGGUAUUGAUGUGGUUGACCAGCGAAGUGUCCAUUCAUUUAACAGAGAAACCUUACCAGCAUAUGAAGACAUUCAACCUCCAAGCUAUGAAGAAGCUGUUGUCAAAUUGGGCGAGUCAUCGACCAUCAAAUAAAAUAGAUUUGUUGAUAAUUUUGAUUGAUUGUUAUCCAUGUCUAGUUAUAUGUUGUUAACUCCUAAAAUUAAGUGUCUAAAAAUGCAAAAAUGAGCAAAAAAUUACGUUAAUAAAAGGUUAUAUGUAAAAUCUUGUUUUCACAAUAUAAAAGGUUUAUUGGUUAAAUCCAUUACUUUGACACUAAUCACAGUUUCAAGUUGCUAAUUAGUAACCAUUUGAUGACUGCAAGUUCAACUAUUAAUUCCUCAUUUGGAAAAAGGUUAAUCUAUUAGGAAUGAACCGAACAAAAAAAUAAAAUAAAAUGGCGCGACGUGAUUUCCAUUGCAAUAGACAAAAAUAACCAAUCAGUUGAACUAUGAUGAGUAUAAUGGCGGUAAUGACAGUAAUGGUAUAAUCUUGUCUCUAAUUGUUAACAGUGUUAAGAAAAUGGCAAUUUUAACAUUUAUUAACAUUGAACCUUUACUCAUCCAAGUUGCCAUAUUUAAGGAACAAAAGAAAACCGUUUUUCUUUAUGUUUUGUUCAAAUUCAAACCCGAAAAAAGGCUACAAUUAUCAACAGCUUCUUCUUUUCUUCCUUUAACCGAUCACCAUUACCAUUCUCAACAGAAACAAUUGAUUUGAAUAUUGCUAUUAUCAUCACCUUAAUCAACUUCUCCAUUUCCAUCAUUACUGAUGCCGUUUUGUUGCUGUUGUCAAAGUGCCAUCAAGUGUAUCCUAAGUGAUAACAAUGAUCAUACUGUAUCAUGAUAAUUAUGAAAUAACUAUGAGAUUCAGUGGAACUAAUUGAUGUUUAAAUUGUCAACUCUUCAAGUUAUCGUCAUUAUUCAACUUGACAUUGUCCAAAAAAUUGUUGCUUAUUCUGCUACUGUAACAGAUGAACAUUUUGUCCAGUAUAUUGAAUCAACUCAAAUGGCACAUGAUGAUGACCAAAUGACCUGAAAAUAUAUGAACAAACCAAAACGGAGGACAAUAAGCGAGAAGAAGAGAGACCAAGUUUAUAAAUAAAUCAUUUGAUUUUCUUGGAAUCGCCCAUCAUUGUUGAUGACAAUCAACAGAUAACAAUUGUAAAAAAGGAACCAUCGUUUACUUCACUCUCCACCAUCAACAUUGAUUCAGUAGCCUUUAUCAAGCUCAUUGUUUUCCUGUUAAAUCAUUUCAUUAAUUGAUUCAUUUUGUCCUUUCAAUGGCAUAAUCUAAAUCAAAUUAAGAUUGAAACGGAGAAAUGAAUAAAUGCUUUAACAAGAAGCUGAUCCAGGAUCGUCUCUAAACAAGCUGAACAGUUCUUGCUUAUACAGAUUCGAAUGGUUAGGAUAUUAAUUUACUGUUACAUGUUUAAUGUUAGUUUUUUAUUAACAUUUAACAACAAUAAUAAUAGUUUAGAUGAUAUAAAAUUGUUUCUUUCAUCCAGUUCAUCUGUAAUCAACAUUUAACCAGCAGAUUUUAACAAGGAGAAAGUGAAAGUUAAUCUUUCAACAACAUGAUACAGUAAAUUCAAUUUAAAUUGAAUCAAACAAGUAUAACCAGUGUAAUUAACUUCAAUACACAUUCAUUAAGGGUAACAACAGUUGACAUGUUUAAGAGAUAAACUUAAUCAUUCACAAUAAUAUAAUGGGACAAUGUUGAUUACUGUUUUUUUUUACUUCACUAACACACAAAAUGUCAUCCAUUUCAAGGAUUAUCAGGAUAUCUACACACUUAACAAAAUGGAAUCAAAUGUAAUGGUGAAAAUUAAAACACGUUUCGUCAAGCAACUACAAUAAUAUCAACGGAAAUAAGGUCCAUCAUUCAUCUAACGGAAACUGUCAAAUUGUUGUGACUUGUUGUGCUAAAAAUAUCACAACUACAUCUGUUUUGCCAGUUUUAGGCUUUAAUGAUGAACGCUUGAUUCACUUGAUAUUAUUGCUGAUUGUAAAGAUUCAGGAGACAGUCAUUUAUUCCCAUAUUUAGUUUGAAAUUUCAUUUUUAAUCAUUAAACUGUCAAUUGCAAAUAUCUUUGAAUCUGUUAAGAUUUACUAGUGAUUAACUUGAUGGUCCGUCCAUCUUUGGGCCUGACUUCAUUUCAGGCUACAUUUAAAUUGUCAUAGAAAUCAAACAAACCAAAAUGAAAGUUAUUUUUGUUCCCAAUAUAAUGAGUUAGGUAUCAACAUGAUGAAUAUGAAUAUGAAUAUUAUGGUUAAUAAUCAAUGUCAACAAUUCUGCAGAUGAACCUUUUUAAAAUUAUUUACUGUCUCAUCUGUCUCAUUUGACUCAUUUGACUGUUGUUGAUGGAUCAAAUGUUUUCCAGCAAUUUAGACUAUCUGUUAUUGUAUACUUUGAACGAUUGCUAUGUAAAUAAAAUUUAUCAUUUUAAUUGUUUAAAUGAUGAUGAAAAUAAAUAUAUAUUAAGGGCCAGCCAAUG